CGCUAUCACUCCUACGGGAGGCAGCAGUGGGGAAUCUUGGACAAUGGGGGCAACCCCUGAUCCAGCCAUGCCGCGUGAGUGAUGAAGGCCUUAGGGUCGUAAAGCUCUUUCGCCUGUGAUGAUAAUGACAGUAGCAGGUAAAGAAACCCCGGCUAACUCCGUGCCAGCAGCCGCGGUAAUACGGAGGGGGUUAGCGUUGUUCAGAAUUACUGGGCGUAAAGCGCGCGUAGGCGGAUUAGUCAGUUAGAGGUGAAAUCCCAGGGCUCAACCCUGGAACUGCCUUUAAUACUGCUAGUCUUGAGUUCGAGAGAGGUGAGUGGAAUUCCGAGUGUAGAGGUGAAAAUUCGUAGAUAUUCGGAGGAACACCAGUGGCGAAGGCGGCUCACUGGCUCGAUACUGACGCUGAGGUGCGAAAGUGUGGGGAGCAAACAGGAUUAGAUACCCUGGUAG
rnacentral:rRNA from 1 species